AGCGAACGCUGGCGGCAGGCCUAACACAUGCAAGUCGAACGAACCUUUCGGGGUUAGUGGCGGACGGGUGAGUAACACGUGGGAACGUGCCUUUAGGUUCGGAAUAACUCAGGGAAACUUGUGCUAAUACCGAAUGUGCCCUUCGGGGGAAAGAUUUAUCGCCUUUAGAGCGGCCCGCGUCUGAUUAGCUAGUUGGUUGAGGUAAUGGCUCACCAAGGCGACGAUCAGUAGCUGGUCUGAGAGGAUGAUCAGCCACAUUGGGACUGAGACACGGCCCAAACUCCUACGGGAGGCAGCAGUGGGGAAUCUUGCGCAAUGGGCGAAAGCCUGACGCAGCCAUGCCGCGUGAAUGAUGAAGGUCUUAGGAUUGUAAAAUUCUUUCACCGGGGACGAUAAUGACGGGACCCGGAGAAGAAGCCCCGGCUAACUUCGU
rnacentral:rRNA from 1 species